AAUCAAGCGCGAGAAGGGCGUUUGGUGGAUGCCUUGGCAGUAAGAGGCGAUGAAGGACGUGAUACUCUGCGAUAAGUCCUGGGGAGCUGAGAAUAAGCUUUGAUCCAGGAAUUUCCGAAUGGGGCAACCCACCUGAAAGUUCAUUAUAAUUACUUCGGUAGUUUAUAAUGUUCUUAAACAGGUACUUUAAACCUGAAUACAUAGGGUUUUAAGAGCAAACCCGGGGAACUGAAACAUCUAAGUACCCGGAGGAAAGGACAUCAAUAGAGACUCCCCUAGUAGCGGCGAGCGAACGGGGACCAGCCGAACUCUGAGAGUGACUGGAAUGGUCUGGAAAGGCCAACCAUAGCGGGUGACAGUCCCGUACAGGAAGCUCGACGAGACGUAUCAAGUAGGGCGGGACACGUGAAAUCCUGUCUGAAGAUCGGAGGACCACCUCCGAAGGCUAAGUACUCCUUACUGACCGAUAGCGAACCAGUACCGUGAGGGAAAGGUGAAAAGCACCCCGACGAGGGGAGUGAAACAGUACCUGAAACCGAACGCCUACAAUCAGUCGGAGCUUGACUGGACUCUAAUGACAAUCUGCGCCAUGCAGUCACCAGAACAAACUGGAGACAAUCAUGGCAGACGGAACCUUCGCAGUGCUCAUGCUGAUUGCUGGGCUCUCCGAUAUGGGGAUGAACCAUUGCGGUACCGACAACGGGUGCUUCGGCAUCUCGGACACCGGAUCGCGCGUCGGCUUUUCGGCCGGCACAGUGGUUGAACGCCGCGCCGACGACGGAUCGGAGAUUUAUCUCCGCUACGACCUCGGAAAGAACAUCGGCCCCUUCGGCCAGGCAAUCGGCCUGUCCUACGGUGACGAAAGCGGUUCCUGGAUCGGCUAUGGCUGGACCUGGGAAACCUACUUCGGAAAGAGCCCGUUCUACACGCAGCUGCACGCGAUGCCCGGCCUCUACGCCGCGGGUGACGACUUCGACCUGGGUGGACCCAUCGAGUUCCGCUCCGGAAUCGAGCUCGGAUACGAGGCGAGGAACGGGUGGCGGUAUGGCCUGUCCUACGAUCACCGGUCCAAUGCCGGGAUCUACGACAACAACCCUGGAAUUGAAACCGUGCAAUUCAGAGUGAGCGUUCCACUGAACUGAUCCCAGAUGUUAUUAGUGUCCAGUCUUGUGACGGCGUACCUUUUGUAUAAUGGGUCAUCGACUUGGUCUAUCUAGCAAGCUUAAGCCGUUAGGUGUAGGCGCAGCGAAAGCGAGUCUUAAUAGGGCGUUGAGUUAGAUGGAUCAGACCCGAAACCGAGUGAUCUAGGCAUGACCAGGAUGAAGGUAAGGUAACACUUGCUGGAGGUCCGAACCCACACCUGUUGAAAAAGGUCGGGAUGAGUUGUGCCUAGGGGUGAAAGGCCAAUCAAACUCGGAGAUAGCUGGUUCUCCGCGAAAUCUAUUUAGGUAGAGCGUCAUCCGAAUACCCCGGGGGGUAGAGCACUGGAUGGGUAAUGGGGCCCCACAGGCUUACUGAUCCUAACCAAACUCCGAAUACCCGGGAGUACUAGAUGGCAGACACACGGCGGAUGCUAACGUCCGUCGUGGAGAGGGAAACAACCCUGACCUACAGCUAAGGCCCCCAAUUCGUGGCUAAGUGGGAAAGCAGGUGGGACGACCAAAACAACCAGGAGGUUGGCUUAGAAGCAGCCAUCCUUUAAAGAUAGCGUAACAGCUCACUGGUCUAAUCAAGUUGUCCUGCGGCGAAGAUGUAACGGGGCUCAAGCCACGAGCCGAAGCUUAGGAUGCCGUAAGGCAUGGUAGCGGAGCGUAGUG
rfam:Citreicella sp. SE45 genomic scaffold scf_1113211290442, whole genome shotgun sequence.